rnacentral:lncRNA from 1 species
UUUUAAUUAUUUUAUACUAAUUUGUUUAAUUCUUGACAACAACGGUGAGAAAUUCUUCGUCAGUUUCAUCGUCCACAUGAGGACAGAGGAAAACGUUUUGCAGAUAACGAACAAUUUACUGUUACAGUAACUGUUUCUAUAUUCUGAAUAUUGGAGAACUUUUUACAUACAAAGUAGGAAUUCUAAUCUAAGAAAAUUCAGUUAUAUUUUUAUUAAAUUCAUAAUUAUUAAAUUCGAUAAGUGUUCAAAAUUUUGAAUGAGAGUAUGAUUGCAAUUUAAAUAUUUUAUAGUAAUUUUUGCUAUAAUAGCUAAACUGAAUUAUAUUUCUACUAAAUUAAUAAUUAUUAAAUUAUCUCUGUGAAUGAUUUUUCUAUUAUUAAAACGUUAUAUAUCCUACUUGAAAAUAUUAUAUAUGUUAGAAAUUCUUUUCAUUCUGUUUUUCAUAAUUUGGUUAAAUACUUCUGAAGUUCUAAGCGUAUUCUCUUGAAAUUUUUUUCAUAUUUUUAUAUGUGUUCAUUUAUUCACAUAACAUAAGACAUACCACAAAACACUUUACACAUUAAAAAUAUUGAAAAAAAUUCAAGAGUUUUCAGCAUAUAAAUUAAUUGAGAAGAGAAAACUGUUCAAAAUUUUAAAUGUGAGUAUGAUUCUAACUUUAAUUUAAACUUUUAAUUAUUUUAUACUAAUUUGAUUCUUUCCAGUCAACGUCCGACAGAGAUUCUUCCUCAAUCUCAUAGAAUUCAGGAUAGAAUAAAAUUUUGGCAGAUAACAAACAAUUUACUGUAACAGUAAUGCUUCCUUAUACCGAAUAUCGAAGAAGUUUUCGAAUACAAAGUAGGAUUUCUAUGCUAACUAAAUUUAGUUAUAUUUUUACUAAUUAAUGAUUAUUAGAUCAUAUCUGCAAUGAUUUUUCGAAUAUUAAAGUAUAAUAUAUUCAGAUUCAAUAUAUAUCUAUAAAUAUAUAUAAAAAUUAUGUAUGUUUCUUACUUUUAUAUAUGUUAAAAAUACUUUUGCCUCUUAUUCAUAAUUAUGUUAAUUAUUUAUCUAAUUUUAAUCUUAUUAUCACCAAAUUUGUUCCGUAUUUCGAUAUUUCUCAAUUUGCUAUUAAAAUUGCCGAUAAUAUUAAACAUAAAAUAUCAGAGAGUAAUUUUUACGUUAAAAGCAUUCGUAUAAAAUUUAAUAGUGUUCAGGAUAUAAAUUAAUCCCGAAGGAGAAAAAGCUUUUUUCAAAAUUUUAAACAUGAGUACGAUUUUAACUUUAAUUUAAAAUUUUAAUUAUUUUAUACUAAUUUUUGUUUAAUUCUUGACAACGACGGUGAGAAAUUCUUCGUCAGUUUCAUCGUCCACAUGAGGACAGAGGAAAACGUUUUGCAGAUAACGAACAAUUUACUGUUACAGUAAUGUUUCUAUAU